CUCUGACCUCAAUCAGGU
rnacentral:rRNA from 1 species